GUCGAUUUAGAAAGAGUUUACAGUAACGUGUGUGAGGAAAGAAGGAAGGAAGGACGCGCUGUUCCCUCCAGAGAGCACUGCUGUCCACCCGGGACCGUCAGAGUCUGAAGAUGCACCGCAGAAAUCUCCGACCCGUCUGAGAGUUUGGCUGUUUCCACUUUGUGUUUUCUUGAGUCUGUAAAGAACGUGCGUGAGACAUGAUUCACUCAGCGACACAUGGAGUAAGUUUGGUGGUAUAUGUAGUAAAUAGAGAGUUAUAGUAGUUUCUUAUGAAGAUGAGUCACUGAUUAUUUGUCACAGAAAUAUGUGGGAAAACACGUUUGAACUCCACAUGUCUUUAUUCUGCAGGAGGAGAUCACUGCAGAGCGGAUCUGCAUGUAAACAAAGUCAGAGACGCUGGAGUUCAAGGUGGAGAAGACAG